AAGUGUUAAUUAUUCUUACCAGGGUACUAUUAGUUAAGGUCUUUAAACCCAAAGAAUUUGGCGGUAUCUCAUUCCAUUCAGAGGAACCUACCCCGUGAUUGAUAGUACACGAUUAACUUUACUUAAUUUAUUUGUUUGUAUAUCUCCGUUAUCAGAAAAUCUUUUUAGAGUUAUAAUUUUCUUAAUUUAUAAUUAUAAAUUAUUUCAGGUCAAGGUGCAGCUUAUAAUUAAGAGGAGGUGGGUUACAAUAGGUUUUUAUUUAGACGGAUUUAAUAGUGAAAUAUUAUUAAUAAAGGUGGAUUUGAUAGUAAUUUAAUUAAUUUAGUUUAGUUGAUAUUGGCUCUGAGG
rnacentral:rRNA from 1 species